rnacentral:rRNA from 1 species
UACGGAGGGAGCUAGCGUUGUUCGGAAUUACUGGGCGUAAAGCGCACGUAGGCGGCGAUUCAAGUCAGAGGUGAAAGCCCGGGGCUCAACCCCGGAACUGCCUUUGAAACUAGAUUGCUAGAAUCCUGGAGAGGUCAGUGGAAUUCCGAGUGUAGAGGUGAAAUUCGUAGAUAUUCGGAAGAACACCAGUGGCGAAGGCGACUGACUGGACAUGUAUUGACGCUGAGGUGCGAAAGCGUGGGGAGCAAACAGG